rnacentral:rRNA from 1 species
CAAACAGGAUUAGAUACCCUGGUAGUCCACGCUGUAAACGAUGUCGAUUUGGAGUUUGGUGGCAUGACUGCUGGGCUCCGAAGCUAACGCGUUAAGUCGACCGCCUGGGGAGUACGGCCGCAAGGUUAAAACUCAAAUGAAUUGACGGGGGCCCGCACAAGCGGUGGAGCAUGUGGUUUAAUUCGAUGCAACGCGAAGAACCUUACCUGGUCUUGACAUCCACAGAAUUUUGUAGAGAUACGAAAGUGCCUUAGGGAGCUGUGAGACAGGUGCUGCACGGCUGUCGUCAGCUCGUGUUGUGAAAUGUUGGGUUAAGUCCCGCAACGAGCGCAACCCUUAUCCUUUGUUGCCAUCGGUUAGGCCGGGAACUCAAAGGAGACUGCCGUUGAUAAAGCGGAGGAAGGUGGGGACGACGUCAAGUCAUCAUGGCCCUUACGACCAGGGCUACACACGUGCUACAAUGGCGCAUACAAAGAGAAGCAAACCAGCGAUGGCAAGCGGACCUCAUAAAGUGCGUCUAAGUUCGGAUUGGAGUCUGCAACUCGACUCCAUGAAGUCGGAAUCGCUAGUAAUCGUGAAUCAGAAUGUCACGGUGAAUACGUUCCCGGGCCUUGUACACACCGCCCGUCACACCAUGGGAGUGGGUUGCACCAGAAGUAGAUAGCUUAACCCUU